rnacentral:rRNA from 1 species
GACGAACGCUGGCGGCGUGCUUAACACAUGCAAGUCGAACGGUGAAGGGACCGGUUUUUGCUGGUUCUGGAUGAGUGGCGAACGGGUGAGUAACACGUGAGUAACCUGCCCCCUUCUUCUGGAUAACCGCAUGAAAGUGUGGCUAAUACGGGAUAUUCUGCGCCUGCUGCAUGGUGGGUGUGGGAAAGAUAUUGUUUCGGUGGGGGAUGGGCUCGCGGCCUAUCAGCUUGUUGGUGGGGUGAUGGCCUACCAAGGCGGUGACGGGUAGCCGGCCUGAGAGGGUGGACGGGCACACUGGGACUGAGACACGGCCCAGACUCCUACGGGAGGCAGCAGUGGGGAAUAUUGCACAAUGGGCGCAAGCCUGAUGCAGCGACGCCGCGUGAGGGAUGGAGGCCUUCGGGUUGUAAACCUCUUUCGCCAGUGAAGCAGGCCUGUCCCUUUUGUGGGUGGGUUGACGGUAGCUGGAUAAGAAGCGCCGGCUAACUACGUG